rnacentral:rRNA from 1 species
AUUGAACGCUGGCGGCAGGCUUAACACAUGCAAGUCGAGCGGAGAUGAGGUGCUUGCACCUUAUCUUAGCGGCGGACGGGUGAGUAAUGCUUAGGAAUCUGCCUAUUAGUGGGGGACAACAUUCCGAAAGGAAUGCUAAUACCGCAUACGUCCUACGGGAGAAAGCAGGGGAUCUUCGGACCUUGCGCUAAUAGAUGAGCCUAAGUCGGAUUAGCUAGUUGGUGGGGUAAAGGCCUACCAAGGCGACGAUCUGUAGCGGGUCUGAGAGGAUGAUCCGCCACACUGGGACUGGAACACGGCCCAGACUCCUACGGGAGGCAGCAGUGGGGAAUAUUGGACAAUGGGGGAAACCCUGAUCCAGCCAUGCCGCGUGUGUGAAGAAGGCCUUAUGGUUGUAAAGCACUUUAAGCGAGGAGGAGGCUACUGAGACUAAUACUCUUGGAUAGUGGACGUUACUCGCAGAAUAAGCACCGGCUAACUCUGUGCCAGCAGCCGCCGUAA